rnacentral:misc_RNA from 1 species
UUAAGUUCAGCGGGUACUCCUACCUGAUCCGAGGUCAAACUGGAUAAAAAUUAUCUGACAUCAGCGCCGAAUGGGUCUUUGAGUGAUAGAAAUUCCCAUACACUCAGACACCAGGACUCGGUGCUGCCAUUGCAUUUCAGGCCCGUCCACCGAGGCAGACGGAGGCCCAACACACAAGCCGUGCUUGAGGGGUUUGCAAU